rnacentral:rRNA from 1 species
AUGGCCGCACCUUUUCUGCUCGUUCUUCUGCUCGUCGUCUCUGGGGGUGCUGCAGCGGGCGGCGAGGACGAGGCGGGGCUGCCCCCGCUCGAGCUCCGAGCCAUCGACGACCCAGGCCGUGGGCGAGCGUCCGUCGCGGCGGAGGAGCCGGUGCUCAUCGCCGAUAUCUCCACGCACGACGACGACCCGGGCCAAGUGCCCCGGGCUGAGUUCCGAGGCAUCGACGACUCCGGCCGUGCGCACGCGUCCUUCGCGCCGGAGGAGCCGGUGUUCAUGGCCGCCGAUGUCACCGCGGACGACGACGAGGCCGGCGAAGAGGCCCGGCUCGAGUUCCGAGGCAUCGACGACUCGGGCCGUGGGCACGCGUCCGACGCGCCGGAGGAGCGGGCGUUCACGGACGUUAUCUCCACGGGCGGCGCCUGCGGCCGCUUCGCCCGCCUCGUCGCCGAGACGGGGAACGCGGGCCAGCUCUUCCGGGAGCGCGUCGCGGGCGCCGGCGGUCUCACGGUGUUCUGCCCCGAAGACAAGGCCCUCGCCGAGUUCGAGCCCAAGUUCCGAGGCCUCGGCGCCGACGACCGGCUCGCCGUCCUGCUGUACCACGGCGCGGCGACCACCUACAGCAGGAAGCUGUUCCAGGCAUUCGACUGGGUGUCGGUGAACUCGCUGGCCACCGACGCGGCCACCAACAAGAGCCACGCCAUCACGCUCCGCGACGACGGGGACACGGUGUGGCUGUGGCCGUCGUGCGGGAGACGCGCUUGGGUCAGGGUGACCAAAACGGUGUCCGAAGAGGCCCCCCUCGCCGUGUACGUCGUCGACGCCGUGCUGCUGCCGAGCCACCUGCGACAGAAGCUGGACGGCGGCGACGGGCCGGCUGCUGCGUGCGAGCCGUCCGGCGGCUAUCUCGGCUGGCUGCACUCCUGCAUCCCGGCCUGGGCAAUGAUACCCAUCGCCGUGGUGAGCAUCGUGGGCUUCCAUCUCGCGUUUCUUCUUCAGGAUGCACUGAACAGGAAGAACAAGAAGGCCAACUUAUCUGCUUAA